rnacentral:misc_RNA from 1 species
UUGCAGCAGCCCGACUUGAACGGAGCUCUUUUUCUUUUUUGAAUAAAAAAGAAAAAAGCGGGAGUGGAAGGCGGAUACAGCU